AGAGAAUGGCUUCAGACUCAGACGAGGAGAAUGUAGCAGUGGUGUUGGAUGUGGGGUCGUAUCAUUUGAGUUAUGGAAUGUCUGGGGAUGACAUACCGAAGUUCUCUAAAUUGGCAACUGCAACAAAAGAUGACACAAAUAAUGGCCAGGCUCCAGUGUUCAAAGCAAAGCUAGUAGACAAGGAACGAAUAGACGAAAUCAUCAAAAUGACAGUUGAAGACUUAGGCGUUCAGCCUGAGGACAAGUUCCUAUUGAUGUCGAAUCCAGCCUCAAUGUCUAUGGAAGAUAAAAUGUCUCUUUGUGAAAUUGUUUUUGAAAGUUCACCUUUCCAGGUUUCUUGACCUUAUCUGAGUCGACAUUGGGAUUAUAUUCCACUGGCAGGUCGUCUGGUUUAUGUCUUGAUGUUGGACACACAAUGACAACUGUAGUUCCGGUAUAUGAGGGAUACCCACUAACAGGAUGUCCUUCAGUUAUAACAUCUCCAAUUUCUGGUUUACAGCUUGAUGAGUUGCUGAAGAAACUUAAUCCAAAACUAGCAGGGCUGGAUAGUGUAGCAAUGACGGCUGUUAAAAAACAGUUGUGUCAAGUUGCUGAAAAUGGGCCUACCAUGAUUCCAGAGUAUGAAAUGACUGACUUUGUCCUGCCAGACGAAUCAAAGGUUUCUGUAGGAAACGAAACAAAACGAGCAUCUGAAUUCCUCUUCUCCCCUCAUUACUUUGGCAUUAAAUCUCCGGGAUGUCAUGAGAUGAUAUACAAUUCUUUGCACAAGGUAGAUCCAGAUGGCCACAAGGAAAUAAUAGAAAAUGUUCUCCCAAUGGGAGGAACUACGAGAAUGCAAGGUUUUGCAAAACGAUUACAAUUAGAACUAUUGGGGGUUUUAGACUACGAGUUUAAUGUUAUUGAUCAAAGCCCCGCUGAAAAGGAGCACAUGUCAUGGAUUGGAGGUUCUGUUUGUGGUGAACUAACAACAUUUGGGCAGAUGUGGAUCUUUAGAUCUGAGUUUGAAGAAGAGGGUGUAGAGAGAAUAUGUAAAAAGAAGUUUAUGUUUUAAUUCCAGGAGUCAUUUACAAAUCACCCUUCCGUCUUAUUAU